UCCUCCUUGGGCUCAAGUCCCAGGCACCCUGGUUUCUCCAACCUUCUCUGCCAGACAGCCUGGCUAUCUGUAACAUUCCACCUGGAAAUCUGGCUCCAAGGUCACCAUGACUAGAACUCUUGGGUCAAGUGGCUGUGGGAAUUGCUACUUGGCACUUAAAAAUGAAGACAAAUGAAACAAUAGAAACAUCCCUGGGCCCAUUUCUUGGAGUCAGGGUAAAAGAGAGGAAGAGCUGGGUUAGAAUUCCUUCCUCUUUCGUAGAUUCAGUUCACGACACCAGUGCUGUGGGUGAACUGUGAUCUUCACCCUUUGGACAAAACCGGAAAGAGGACAAAAGAGCGAGCAGGAAAAAGUAAAAGAGUGCUUGUCUCAGUUCAGCUAGCUCUAAAGACACAGCUAAAGCCUUUCUGGCUCAGUGGGCAAAGGAAGCUGCUCUCACCUAUGUGGUAGGGGACACAGAGUGUCUCCAUGUCAGAUGAUCUGGGUAUCACCAGGUCUGAAGAUCAUGGCAUCCAAAGCCUAACUUUUCAAGCAUAGAGUUCUGGAUCUGAAAUGGUUGUCCUCUUCAUGUCCUUACCUGGGUGAUGAAAGUUAAGCACCUUCCCUUGUGUGAAGUAAAAACGGCCUAUUGCUCUUGGUAUUAUUAGCUGUUUUUACAGUUGUUUUUUCUUCUGUGGAAAGCUCCAUGUCCCCCAAAGCCCAGAAAGUCCAGAAGGCAAUGUCAAACUCUCUGGAGGAACUGAAACCAUUAAACCUUGUGACAACCGGAUUCCCCACUAGCGAUCUUCUCUUCUCAAGAAGCCGUUUGGUACAAGGAGGUUUCGGAGCAGCUCCUCAGAUGUGGCCUCAAGUCCGCAGCAGAGGUGUCAAACAUGCAGUCCAGAGCCUCUGCAGUUUACAACAUUCCCGUAUUGCCUGAACCAGAUUAAAAUGAGAAAAAAAUCUUCAUAUAACUGAAAAGAACAGCAAAUGCAACUUACAACACACUCCCUGCCCUGGCAUCUGCCCAACCUGCAAGGAUUUGGAAGAUAUAUAGAAUAUAUAGAGCGAAGGCAAUAUGCUUCACAGCAUGCUUAAGUGGAAAUUGAAGCUAUGGCUGUUCAUAGACUGACCAAGGAAGAAAGAUACCUAGUGUACAAAAGGCAAUAUAGCAAGUCUGAAUCACAUUUAUGAUAUCCAGUCAAAGCAGAUUUUCUGGUGGUCAUGUCAUGGUGAUAGCCGUGGGUUGGAUAGAGCUUCCAAGAAACUGCAAUUCAGAUCAUGGAAGGCAAUAUUAGAAUUGAAGUCACUAGUUAUAUUAGCUGUGCUACAGGCCUGGCAGGGGUGCCAUCAAGCCAGUGUCUCUCAGGUUCCCAGCCAGGUAGACACCAGCAACAAAGAGUUCCAAAUUAACAAUCAACUUCCUCUGGAAGUCAUGCCUAUCAGUGGCAGAGUGGUAAGUACCCCAACACCCUUGGAGGCUCCAGGCCCUCACCAGAGACCUCCCCCACAGGUGGCACUUGCCUAAGGCAGCAUACAGCCAUGGCAGGUAGCCCCAAGGGCUCCUCAGCUUUUCUUAGAGUCCAAUUCUCACAGCCAUACAUUGCUAUUGGAAAAACCAUAGCUUUGACUAUAUGGACCUUUGUUGG